ACAUGUGGGUAACCUACCUAUAACACUGGAAUAACUCCGGGAAACCGGGGCUAAUGCCGGAUAACAUUUAGAACCGCAUGGUUCUAAAGUGAAAGAUGGUUUUGCUAUCACUUAUAGAUGGACCCGCGCCGUAUUAGCUAGUUGGUAAGGUAACGGCUUACCAAGGCAACGAUACGUAGCCGACCUGAGAGGGUGAUCGGCCACACUGGAACUGAGACACGGUCCAGACUCCUACGGGAGGCAGCAGUAGGGAAUCUUCCGCAAUGGGCGAAAGCCUGACGGAGCAACGCCCCGUGAGUGAUGAAGGUCUUCGGAUCGUAAAACUCUGUUAUUAGGGAAGAACAAAUGUGUAAGUAACUAUGCACGUCUUGACGGUACCUAAUCAGAAAGCCACGGCUAACUACGUGCCAGCAGCCGCGGUAAUACGUAGGUGGCAAGCGUUAUCCGGAAUUAUUGGGCGUAAAGCGCGCGUAGGCGGUUUCUUAAGUCUGAUGUGAAAGCC
rnacentral:rRNA from 1 species